rnacentral:rRNA from 1 species
AUUGAACGCUGGCGGCAGGCCUAACACAUGCAAGUCGAACGGUAACAGGAAGAAGCUUGCUUCUUUGCUGACGAGUGGCGGACGGGUGAGUCAUGUCUGGGAAACUGCCUGAUGGAGGGGGAUAACUACUGGAAACGGUAGCUAAUACCGCAUAACGUCGCAAGACCAAAGAGGGGGACCUUCGGGCCUCUUGCCAUCGGAUGCGCCCAGAUGGGAUUAGCUAGUAGGUGGGGUAACGGCUCACCUAGGCGACGAUCCCUAGCUGGUCUGAGAGGAUGACCAGCCACACUGGAACUGAGACACGGUCCAGACUCCUACGGGAGGCAGCAGUGGGGAAUAUUGCACAAUGGGCGCAAGCCUGAUGCAGCCAUGCCGCGUGUAUGAAGAAGGCCUUCGGGUUGUAAAGUACUUUCAGCGGGGAGGAAGGGAGUAAAGUUAAUACCUUUGCUCAUUGACGUUACCCGCAGAAGAAGCACCGGCUAACUCCGUG